rnacentral:piRNA from 1 species
UGCCUGUCUGUUGAGGGAGACCUACACACCUU